CCCAGUCAAGAACUGGUCGCCAUGAGCAGAUAGUGCAUGGAGGAGUAUGGUUACAGAAUCGAAACUCAUCUCCAGUUAGUUUCUUAUCCAAGGACUGCUGUGUUAUCUCAUCCCAAGAGAGAGCCGCUCCCACCAGCAAUAUAAUUUAACAAAGCUACAAACCAAAUGAGUUGCCAGCCUACAAAACCCUCAUACCUAUGUGAUUUUCAUUCUCUGCGAGGUGUGGUUUUCGGGUGGGCGCUUUCGGACUCUCGGAUCCCUUUGCUAGGCUGAAGGAGCUUAUGCAAUACAUCUGUAUCUGUAAAUGGAUAUCAACCCACCUGAGAUUCUCCUGAAUAAAAAGUUUAGCACUGAAAGCGUGCAAGCUUUGCAGACUUGCAGUGUCCCACACAGGUGAUCGUGGUGCUGGACUGCAUUAAUACGGGUAAAGGCUUCCUUCUACGCGUGUGCGAAGAGAAGUGAAAAUGUGAUUGUCCCAUACCCUUGUAGGUUUGUAAAAACAAUUUUCUAGAGCCGCUAACUGCACCACUAGACUUGGUGGAAAGGAUGGAGGGAGGAUAAUUUCCCUUGGAAAGUUUGGAUGGCUGGAUAGGUCUUCUCUUGUAUAUGCUGAAAGGGAGCAAGGGACACUGAUCAUCAGAGCGCUUCGCAGUCAGAAAAAAGAGUGAUCAUUUCAGUGCAUGGAAAUGGAUGGAAAGAGACGACAAGUCCAGAAUAUGUGAAGGGAUUUCCUCCACCAGGAAAAUCACCGGCUGCCCAAACCCUCUGGUUUCCCACCUGGAGAAGCCCAAGACCUGCCUAUGGUGAUGAUAAUUUCUGCCACGGGGGAAAGCAAAGGCUACAGGAACCCACAAAAGCUAUUAUUAACCUGGAUGUGUUCUGCGAUUUGUUUCCCACACAGCAUUGAAACUGGCACAGCUGAGGGGGAUGAAGCUUGGGAUGAUGAAAGAGUCUAGUAAGGACUGUAGCAAUGAUGACAAAAGUGCCUGCCUAGGACCCAGGCAGCUGCUUGCCGUGCCCCUCUUUACCCAACACCCCCCAAAGUGGCCUGAGUGGGAGAAAAGAUGCCAUUCUGGGGGACAGCUGACUGCCGUGCCUUCCUGGGAGAAACAUGCUGCUUCCAUCAGUGCUGUAGCUAUCCAAAUAAUGUUCCCUGUGAGCUGAACUUCUUCCUCUGGAUAAUACACCAGUUUGCUACAUGCUGGAGAAGCGGGGUGCCCCCGAAUGCCUGAUGCCUGUGUACUGCCCAGGGCUGCUGCUCUGCGUAACCAGGAACCAUCUCUGGAUCACCGUGUGUGACAGGACGGCUUGGGCUUGGCAGUUCUAUGAGAUGUAAAAAUCAAGCCAGCUAAUCAAGAUUUAAACCAACGCCGAACUGAAAAGACUAGCGAGUGGUCCAGCCACGAGUUAAUUCAUUAGUUGCGGUAAAUAUUGCUAGAAGAGCUUGUCAAAAGGAAAUGUGAAGCAGCUGAAAAGAAACGUCCUUAAAGUGAAUGUCAAAGGCUUUUGCAGCUGUCAUCCAGUGGAAUGGGAGACUCCAGACUUUGGAGAGAAAAUGAGAGUAAAAGAAAUAAAAAUUUGAGUACAGAGGAUAAAGUACCAGUUUCCACUGGGUGAUUAUAAAGGAAGCGAUCUUGCCACUGCAGGGACUUAAUUAGAGACUGAAUCUCACAACUGUCUAAUGUCUCCUCCAGUACACUGAGAAACCCAAACCAGCUACAGCGGUCUGUUCAGACCGGCAGCAGCAGGAGGCUCUGCUGCUUCAGGGGCACACUGAAAUGCCAGUUUUAUGUAGCUGGAGGUCAUUUCCAGUGUUCUUGAAUCCUGUAGUCUGUUCAGUGGUCACUUAGGACCAGGGGAGCAACUUCAUUCUCUUGCCUGGCCAGGACGGCAUCAUCUUGGUCCUACAGAAGGCAACAACGGAGCUCCCACUGCUGUGUACCCAAGCCUCCUGGAGGAAAGGUACCAGGACCCGUUUUCCUAGGCAAACCUAAGAGUUAAUUGUCAACAAGAGAGAAUUUCAUGUUUCUGUGACGGAUGUGAUGAAUCGCUGCUUUUGUUGGUCUCUGAAAUGUGCAGAUCAGGUGUGGGUCCUCGGGCCUUCCUGGAGAUGCCAGUGCUGUCAGUCAGUGGUUGCGUGCAUCGGUUCCCUUAAGCCUUGGUGCAGGGCUCAGCUCUCCUGCCUCGCUCCAGCUAUUGCCCGCCUGAGACACUGUCACCCUUCUUUCCCUCCUUUUGGAAAUGUGGAAGCACUGGCCGUAGCUUGAGGCUAACCUUUGGCAGCAAUGCCCAGCCCUGCCCUGGCUGUUCCCUCUUAACUCUGAGCUGCAGUGCAUCACCUCUCCGUCGGUGUGCUGAGCAGAGAACUCCUGAAGUUAGGGUUUUUCUUUGUUUGGUACUUUUUUUUUUUCUAAGCAGCAACAAGUCUUUGCUGGAUUUUAUUUCAGACUGGUCUGUUCUGGGCCCUGGACCUCAACACUCCCCUCCUGGUGCCGGGAAGGGCUGAACGGGCGGGAGCCAUGGUCUGGAGUAAGUGAGCAGCGAGGUCAGCAGGAAGGAAUUAUUUUAGCUGAUAUUGCCAGCAAAGUCAUUUUUUAAGUAACCCUGUCCCUGCAGAGUGAUUCUGUGCAGGCGAGGCUUGAGGAGAGUGCAGGGAUCCCUUCCAGUGUCACUACUACUAGCAGCCACGUUUUUCUGUAGCAGGAUUUUCCCGGCGUAGGGAGGGCUGUGCCUUCUGCGGCUGCUCGGAGAGCUGAGCGCUCCUGGGAGGAGCGCCGGUGACUGCUCGGGAUGGGUAGAUGCAUUGUGUACUGGGGACAGUGGCUUACCAGUCUCCUCUGGAGCUGGGAAGAGGUAAGUGACCUACCCAGAGAGAGCUCAGCAUUGCUAACAUCUGACAAGGACAUUUUCAUAACCAAGAUAAAUGAACAGAUGCCUUUUUGCUCUAGGGAGAUAAUUUCUUCUGUGCUACUAGCCUGAGACCAUUUGCUUGGCUUAGCCUGUAUUUUUACCAUAUGCAACAAGCCUUAACCACUUCAUUUAAGGCUGUUAUUCAUUUGAAUAUGAAACAUUUCUGGCAUUUUUUUCCCAUUUUUCUGGCCCUUGCAUGUUGCUAAUGUCUCCACUCCUGUAUAUAUGUUUUCUUCUCUAACAUUUCAGUUCUCCUCUCUUGUAAUAUUUUAAACCCUUAAUUGCCUGAUGCUGCAGAUGGAGAGUAUUAGUUACCUUCCGUCACCACGCUGGCCACGAUGACUUCCUUUGCUUGACAAGUUGAUUACUUUGUCAAGAUGAGCAUUAAGUCUUUCUGGAGUAUCGCUGUGCGUCUUGUGCCAGAUUGCAAUUGCAAGGUGGUUUCUUAUUGGACGUGCAGUUUCUCCAGACACAGAAUACCAGGAGUAAAACCAGGAUUUUGCGGGGCUUUUUUCAGCACUUCCUUACUGAGAUUGAUGUUGCUCCAGUUUAUACCAAUAGGAUUUGGAUGGCUGUAUCUCUAAAUGUGACAAACUCGUGCAUGGCAAGCAAACCCAACUGAUGAAAUUCCAUUGAUAAAGAAAAUUCCCAUCCUGGCAACCACCCAGCAAAGUCGGCAAGUAGCGAUUAGGCGUUAAUAAUAACUGCACCAAGUCUGCCAAAGCUGCUGGAGAUGUGACUAACAGGCACCUCCGUGGAGCCAAAGAAUUGUUGCAGUGCCUGCUCCCUGCUGCGCAUCCAAAACGGCAGUGUCCUGGGUGAGUGGUGGGGCUCACGGGCUCCCCAGCGUUCCAGUUACGGACAGCAGGGAACAGAAAGGAGCCUUUGCAAAAGCGUUGCAAAAACGGCUUAACACUCUGUAGGCUCAUUAAGGUGAGAAAAACUUCCUCUCCACUGUAUGGUAGGGCAUCGCUGGGGCUGGUGUCUCAGAUCUUGCCAUCAACAUGUUGAGUCCAUCGCUCCCCUUCACAGACCCAAUGCACAGUGUGGGAUCCAGUCGUGGCUCUGCUUGCCAAAGCAUCUAUACAGGGCACCAAACCUUGCCUCCUUAUGCCAUGCACAUGCUGCCCAGGCCUCCAGAGACUUCCACCUGGUCAUAUUCUGCAUGACCCCUAAAAGAGGGUAGACAGCAGUUGCGGCACAGAAGCUGUAGCAGUAACAGUGCUUUCAGAUUGGUCACUGGAUAUAAUUGAGGCAAAAGAGCAAAACCCAAGGAAAUUAAACACAUUUCAUAGCAGUUCCUGAGGGAGAGCAGAUCUCAUAGCUUGUGAACUGCAAACCAGGUCAAGAGGGCUGGACAGAGAAAUUGCUGACAUUGGCCCCAAAAUGUCAUUGUUAAGGCUGGGAGCCAGGAGGGCUGGCGCUUGGGACACCUCCUCCUGGUACGCUGCCAAGGACGGUGGCAAUGUCCUCCCUCUGAGGGUGGUGGCUCCCCGGCCCCGGGCACUCAGCAUCCGUCCCCGCCGCUUGCCCGACCCUCCCUCCCCUCGAGACCUACUUUUGCUGGGAGAGGCAAGGUAACCUCGCCACUGAAAAUAGCUGGGACGGCAGCCAGCGGAGAUUAAUGGCAUCAUUAACGUCCCCAGUUUAUUUAUAGGCUUAAAAAAGCCUCGGACCUGCAAACUGAGCAGAAUUGCUCUGUGUAACGCAGGGACUCCCCGGUCCCCUACUUCUGCCUUUCCCCUUCCUGCUAUUUCAUCCUCGUCUCUGCGACUGUAAAACCUCUGGAGCAGGGACUGUCUCUCAUUGUAAACCUUCCUUACUAGGGGGAUACACACGGAUAUAUUUUUUCCAUGAACGCUGUAUUUGUCUGGUCUCCUUCCUCCACCCAAUUCUUUCUGCGUUCACUGUGUCCUGUGGCCCCCUCUUCGGGAAAAUUCUCUUUUUCAUGAAUUCCUGAGGCAUAGGCUGAGCAGUCGUCACAGGAAUUAGUGAUUUUCCGCCUUGGGUUUUAAACUGUGAGCUCUGUGGGAGAGCACCUAGGACGUGUGGGGUGCUAGUGAAACAUGCAGAUGUAAUUAAUGACCAUGGAGGUCUUCCUACGGGAGCCAGCCGAGCCAGCCCAGCUCCCAGGUCCUCCAGGAACCUCGUGGGACUGGCAGGGAAAGAAAAACCACCCCGAGUGUGUUGGCCCCAGAAGAGGAGUUUUCAGCACGUGACCUGCGGCCGCACUGCCUGGCCUCUUUCCCAGCACUCGGUGAAAGGUAAGUGAGAAAAGAAGCUUGUUGUCAGCAGGCACAAAUCCAAGGAAUUGGCUGUGUGACUGGGAGAUGGCUCCACGGGUGGGAGAAAAAAAGCAAAAAUAUCAGGAGAGAGCUCUCCCGCCCAGAAACAUGGAUAACCAGCGUGGCACCUCAUGGAAGUGAGGUUGCUUCAGAGGGCAACCACCCUUCACUUUGUGUUGUUUUUUUUUUUUGUUCUGUCAAUCUGAGAUAAACUCCUGUGUCAGUCUUUCUUUGGACCUCUGUCUUCUAGGCUCUGAAAUAAAUGCCAGAGAACUGCUCAAA